AAUCAAUCCGUUGAUUGGAUGUGGCAAGAGCUUUCCAUAUUUCCAAGUAAGGAGAGGCUAAAUGGGUUCUGUUUGAAAAGAUCCAGCAUUUUUGAAAAGCAAUUAACAGAUACGAAACAAUGUGUCUCUGUGAAAAGGGCAGGCUAAAGGUUUCAACAGCACCGGCCGAAAAAGUGGAGAUAUAAUUUCAGCAUUGAACAAGGGCAGGGCAAUAUGUAUAUAUACAUGUGUAGCGUUGUCAGACUAUAUGGAUAGUCGGGCCUCGGUGACAAAAAUGAUGAAAUAACAUUGUGUUUUUUCAGUGUCUUAACAUUCAGUUCAAGAUUCAUUUUAUUUUAAAAUGUCUUUUUACAAUAUUUUUUUUUACAAAACUUCCAUGGUAAAGUAAGUGCAAUUUAGCACUGGUAAGAUAUUUACUUGAAGGAUUGAUUUUCAGAACAGAAAUGCAAAUACAAUGUAUAUAAAUAAUAAUUAUAAUAAUUAUUUGUGUAAAAUGUAUUGCAAUUUUGAAUUAUAAUAUGAAUUUAGAUAGAUUCAUACAACUUUAAUCUUGGUAGAGCUAAUUUGUAAGAAUAUUUAAUGGAAUCUGACUUAAAGUAAAAAAAAAUAUUUAUCAUUAGUGGGUGGGGUAAUGUUUUAUACCAGUCUAAAUGAUGAUGUAUAGAUUAUGCAGUGUUGCGACUUUUUGAAUGUAAUCAACAUUGGUUGAAAUGUUUUGGAUUAAAUAAAGCAUGUUUGUGUA